CUUGCUCACCCAUAAUUUAGGUCUUCUCUUCUCUUCCUAAUGACUUGCCCUGCGGACUUCAAGCUCCAGCAUCAGACAAAAGACUUACAGAGACUACUUAAACCAGUCUCCACCAUUGUCAUAAUUAUCCUCAUUUUAUAA
rnacentral:lncRNA from 1 species